rnacentral:rRNA from 1 species
UGGGGAAUUUUGGACAAUGGGCGAAAGCCUGAUCCAGCAAUGCCGCGUGUGUGAAGAAGGCCUUCGGGUUGUAAAGCACUUUUGUCCGGAAAGAAAUCCUUGGCUCUAAUACAGUCGGGGGAUGACGGUACCGGAAGAAUAAGCACCGGCUAACUACGUGCCAGCAGCCGCGGUAAUACGUAGGGUGCAAGCGUUAAUCGGAAUUACUGGGCGUAAAGCGUGCGCAGGGCGGUUUGCUAAGACCGAUGUGAAAUCCCCGGGCUCAACCUGGGAACUGCAUUGGUGACUGGCAGGCUAGAGUAUGGCAGAGGGGGGUAGAAUUCCACGUGUAGCAGUGAAAUGCGUAGAGAUGUGGAGGAAUACCGAUGGCGAAGGCAGCCCCCUGGGCCAAAUACUGACGCUCAUGCACGAAAGCGUGGGGAGCAAACAGGAUUAGAUACCCUGGUAGUCCACGCCCUAAACGAUGUCAACUAGUUGUUGGGGAUUCAUUUCCUUAGUAACGUAGCUAACGCGUGAAGUUGACCGCCUGGGGAGUACGGUCGCAAGAUUAAAACUCAAAUGAAUUGACGGGGUCAUA